UACGUAGGGCGCAAGCGUUGUCCGGAAUUAUUGGGCGUAAAGAGCUCGUAGGCGGUGUGUCGCGUCGGCCGUGAAAACCUGUAGCUUAACUGUGGGCUUGCGGUCGAUACGGGCAUCACUGGAGUUCGGCAGGGGAGACUGGAAUUCCUGGUGUAGCGGUGAAAUGCGCAGAUAUCAGGAGGAACACCGGUGGCGAAGGCGGGUCUCUGGGCCGAUACUGACGCUGAGGAGCGAAAGCGUGGGGAGCGAACAGG
rnacentral:rRNA from 1 species